GUUUUAUCAGAAAGCAGUUUAGUAAGAGUACAAAGUCAAAAAUAUUUUAAGAAUGUUAAACCCAAGUAAGAAAAACAAUGCUCCUAAAAACACUCAUCUAACUUUUAUUUUCUAUUUUUCCUCAAACACAUGAAGAGAAACACGAAAGAGAUUCAAUUUUUAAAAUACAGUUAUUUAUACUUGCAGCAGGCAAUCUGUUGUGCAUGAACUGAAGCCAACUUGGCUAGGUCUUGGAAUGUACUCUCUCAAAGUUUCAAACCAAGUACCAAACAAAUUCAUGCAGCCAACAGACAGUUUUACUAUUGAAGUGAUAAGGUGAUAAUAUGGCUGAAUUACAGUAACAUACUGUUCAUCUAAACUGGUGCAGUUUUUGAAUAUCAAUUCUAGUGUUUUCCAUACACACAACUCCUAAUAUUUUGCAGAAAAAUAAAAUCGAAGACACUAUCCAAAUAUUCAAACUUCAGAAAACUCAGGGGGAAAUAAAAUGAAAGGAAAAGCAGAUUGCCAAAACCCCUUCACAAAAGACCAGAACGUUCUCUGCAGUAAUAUAUAACUACACGGAGUC
rnacentral:lncRNA from 1 species